rnacentral:rRNA from 1 species
AUUGAACGCUGGCGGCAUGCCUUACACAUGCAAGUCGAACGGCAGCACGGGUGCUUGCACCUGGUGGCGAGUGGCGAACGGGUGAGUAAUACAUCGGAACGUACCUUAUCGUGGGGGAUAACGCAGCGAAAGCUGUGCUAAUACCGCAUACGCCCUGAGGGGGAAAGCGGGGGAUCGAAAGACCUCGCGCGAUUAGAGCGGCCGAUGCCUGAUUAGCUUGUUGGUGGGGUAAAAGCCCACCAAGGCGACGAUCAGUAGCUGGUCUGAGAGGACGAUAAGCCACACUGGGAAUGAGACACGGCCCAGACUCCUACGGGAGGCAGCAGUGGGGAAUUUUGGACAAUGGGGGCAACCCUGAUCCAGCAAUGCCGCGUGAGUGAAGAAGGCCUUCGGGUUGUAAAGCUCUUUUGUCAGGGAAGAAACACCGGCUCUAACACAGUCCGGGAAUGACGGUACCUGAAGAAUAAGCACCGGCUAACUACGUGCCAGCAGCCGCGGUAA